CCCCCCCCCCCAUAAAUAAUGACCGCUCCCUCAGCGCUACCCAAGGGUUAAAAUUUAACCUGCCGUUUUAGUUUGUGUAGUUCUGCACGUCCGUUUAUUUCAAAACUUCAGAGAAGUAAACUCAGGGACGCCGGAACUGGGGGGCAGGGGCCCCCCCUGCCUUUUGCUAGGGGGGGCAGAAGUGCCCUUUCAGUUUUAAAAAAUUGCGUGAUAAAUCACAUUUAAAACGAUGGUUUUUGUCCGAAAAUUCUGAGAUUCAGACAUUUACAUUUUAAAUUUCGGGGGGGGGGGGGGGGGUCGCCAAAAUUUUUUGAUAAAAAAAUUUUUUUUGUAAGAUUUUGAAUUUUUUUUUUAGAGAAGUGCCCUUGCUGUGGGUCCGCCCCCCUUUGCCUUAUGAUCGUUCCGGCGUCCCUGAGUAAACUCCCAUGGACCCAAACAAGAUCGCUGAAGAAAUAUUUCCAAAUUUAUAGACAAGCUGUCAGGAAGUUUGCUUUGAAUUUUAGGAUAACCGAGGGUUAAGCUAACCCAGCUUUGAACAACCGGUCCCAAACGUUGAUUUCGUGCAUUUUCAGACACAAUUUUUGAUACGUUUCAUUCGUUGAAAGAUUGAAUAUUAGGCCAUGUAAAAUUCGAUAUAAAUUUUGAAAACAUCAAGUGAAAAUCAGCUUAACUGAUUGUCUUCUUUGUGCUCGUCGUUCUUUUGAACAAUUUAAACAUAAUUUGUGAUUAUGCAUGCAUCCCUUUCACGAAUUAAAGGGAAAUGGCAAUAUAUUUUUUAUUUUCUCAUUCGAAAGAACUUUUAAAACUAUAUAUAAAACUCUUUUACCGUUUUUUCACUACCGUUAAUGAGAUCAAAAAUGUAUCCAAGAUGGCGGACAUCUCAUUACUUCAAGUGAAAAUGUCAAAAAUAUUUCAAGAACUAUAAAAUAAGAUUAAAAAUCCGUAAAACAAGUUAAUACAUAGUUUGAAAAGUUCUUUGAAAUGAGAAAAUCAAAUUUAUAUUGCCAUUCCCCUUACGGCACAAAAUCUCAUAAUAUUACUUUAAAAAUUGGUUAUCACUACAGAUUGAAAUAACCCAUGCACCUAUAACAAUUCGAUAGGUAAAUGAUUUGAUCGACUGAUUUAAAAAUCGUUUCUCGUUGUAAAGUAUUCAGACUUCAUUAUUGGCUUGGCUCGUUGAAUGCAGAAACUUUAUAUCUAAUAUAUUCAAUAAGCAGCUAAUACAGUAAAACCCGCGUAAAAGAACAACUAUUUUUAUGUUAGGUUAAGCCCUGGGCAAACUAGCAAACUUUGUUGCGGAAACAUUGUUUCCUACCAAUGUUUCGCCAUGUUUCCAAGAGUGGGCAAACACUUGGAAGUAUUAGUGAGAAACAUAGUGAAACAUCAAAUGUUUCUGAAUUAAGCCCUGGGCAAACUAGGGAACAUUGUGGUGGAAACAUUUGUGAUUCUCGAUGUUUCUUCAAAUGUUUCCCUGUUUGCCCACCCGUGGAAACAUUGUUGCGGAAACAAAAUUUGCUUCCCGAGAAGCAAAAAUGUUUCCUAGCAAAUUCAGAAACAUUUGAUGUUUCCCUAUGUUUCUCACUAAUGUUUCCUAGUGUUUGCGCACUCUGGGAAACAUGGCGAAUCACUUGCAGGCCAGGAAACAAUAGGGAGUUUACGAUCUACGACGCGGCCGGCUCGACGACGCGCUUUCAAAACAAAGAAAUUUGGUGUUUCCACAAACAAUAGUAUUAUGUGUUUUAUCGCCAUGCAAACCUACAAAGAACUUACAAAGAAAUUUGUCAUGCAAGACAAAAACUGUCAAUAAUUUGUGGUCUCAUGAGUAUUGUCAACCGCGUUGUCAUUCUCAACACAACGUUAAAAAAGCAUUAUUACGUCUUUCAGGCAACGCGAAAGCUUAAUGCGACACAAGAGGUGUUACUAAAAGUCGAAAUUACAGCAAACAUUGCAUCGCUUUAGCCGAACGUAGCAUUUUGUAAGGUUAUUUGAAAGAGUCAAAUAUUUAUUACAGUAAUCGAAUUGCUUAGCGCUCAUUCUUGAGCUAAAAUUUAGACCGCGUCGUUGAGCCGGCCGCGUCGCAGAUCGUAAACUCCCUAAUGUUUUCGCAACAAUAUGUCCUAGUUUGCCCAGGGCUUUAGGAAACAAUUUUGCUUCUCGGGAAGCAAAUUUUGUUUCCGCAACAAUGUUUCUACGGGUGGGCAAUCAGGGAAACAUUUGAGGAAACAUAAAGAAUCACAAAUGUUUCCGCAACAGUGUUUCCUAAUUUGCCCAGGGCUAAAGGCUGAAGUCGUUCUUAUGCCUGGUUCAUACUACUGAUACUAGCAAUUCUGUUCGCGAUUUUUCUCCUGACAAAUGUGGUCGAAUAAAUGAUAUGCAAAAGACUUAGAAUUCAUGUUUCGUUCGCUACUCUGGUUUAUAGUGAGGCGGAUAUGUGUAAAAUUAUUGAUCAGUAGUUCCCGUUGAGGUUAAAAGCAUCAAACUUUUACAAUUGAUGUAGUUUUAUUUGCUUAAUAGAUAUCUGAAGUGAGGCCAUCGCUAUUUUGCUGCUAACUCCUGAAAACGGGCGAUUAGUGAUUUUCUUCUAUUGAAUUCUAUUAUAGCCAAAACAUGUGAAAUUUUGUAAUCAAUUACAACAAAUAUGACUUGUAUCAUCAGAAAGCUUAUAAAAAAACUGCAUUUAAGACAUUUAGACAGUUUUUUGAUUUCUGAAAUAGUUUUCGAAUUAUAAACUGUUAAAAACGCAUUUUCAAACGUCGAAUAAUUAAUUAGGGACUUUUAGCGAGAUAAUGUGCCUAAUUUACAGCAAUAACCAUUUGAAGAAUCAAAAAACUGUUUAAAAAUCUUUUAUGUAGUUUUUUACAAGCUUUCUGAUGAUGCAAGUUAUAUUUGUCGCGAUUGAAUUCAAAAUUUCAUUUUUGUUGUAGAAUUUAAUAGCAAAUAAUGCUAAUAGCAUCGUAACUCUCUAAAAAAAACAGUUGCACGAUGGCCCCACUUUUGCAUGUUGUUCUACUCAUAAAAAGAUGCUACUGUGCACAAUUUGGUGCUUUUAACCCUCAUCGGAAACAUCCAUGCACAUAUCCGCCACACUAUUAAAUAAAUUAUUACAAAGUCCAGUCGAAUUGUAAUCAAGACCCAACGUUUCGACACUUCAGUCUAGUGUCUUCAUCAGUGGUGAUCUAAAAUUGCAAUCGUGGCUUCUUAAAUACUCAAGGGAUGACGUCACCUGCCAAUGAGAUGCAUAUAUUCCUCUGGCAAAUAGGCACAGUCAUCCCUAUUCAAAGCAUGAUUAUACUACUCAUAUUUAUAUGCCACGCUUCUAGGCAAAGUCCUCGACCAUAGCGAUUGUUUGUGGUAAUUACUUUAGAGUUUUCCCACGCAAUCUCGUGUUUGGUGUAACAUACAUGUUCGGCUAAAGCUGAUUUGCCCUUGUCUAAAGUUGAAACAGCCUUUUGAUGUUCUUUUAGCCGUGUACCAAACUGGCGUUUAGACUGACCCAAAUACUCUUUCUCAGGGACGCCGGAACGAUGAUAAGGCAAAGGGGGGCGGACGCACACCAAGGGCACCUAUAUAGAGCAAAACUUCAAAAUCUACCGAAAAAAUUUUUUUCAAUGGAAAGUUUUGAGAGACCUCCCUCCCCCCCCCUCCCGUCGCCAAAAAAAAUUCGGUCAGUGUACCAUUUUACGGGUCAAAAAUUUUUUCCGGACGUACCAAAAGUCGAAUAUAAACUAUAAAUUGCCUGAAUCUCAUGAUUUUCCUACAAAAAGCAUCGUUGGAAAUGUAAUUUAUCACGUAGAAUUUUACAACUAAAAGGGCACUUCUGCCCCCCCCCCUAGCAAAAGGCAGGGGGGGGGGCAGCUGCCCCCAGUUCCGGCGUCCCUGCUCUUUCUCACAGUCAGCGCAUGGUAUAGAAUUGUUUACUUCUGCAAAGCGACCCUAUACUUUUGUUUCCGAGUUCACUCAUUUGCAUCCGUCAGGAACACAAAAUCGCCGACAAAAUUGCUGCUGUGAAACACGCUUUAUGCAGGGUGUAUGAAAAAGGUAGGUAGCGCCGAAGAGAAGUGUUUUUCUUGGAAAAAAUCUUGCUGAUCCAACCAUUGAAAAGUCCCAGCCCUGGCCAAAAACUUUACAAAAGGAUACCAUUCAGUUGUCACACAUGUCCUUAAUACCACUUCUGUGACAUGAGUUUGAUAACUGCUUGUGCAAUUUUCUGCAAUCUAAAGUUUCAUGUUGUCUGCACAUGUACUUUCUUUGAAGUACCAUUUGCCUCCUGAGAAAUCGGAAAAUUAUCAAGAUGGUGCCACUGAUUGAUUUACAUUUUUUAUUGACAUAUGACUGUUGACAUUGCCUUUUAGUCUUCAUGCUUUGGAAAUGACAAUAAAUUAUUAUUACCCACCCCUGGAGUUGUUUUGUUUUUCAUCUACCCAACCUUUUACUCAAAAUUUUGUUUACCCAACCCUUUUCUCUUCGGUGCCACCCCCACCAUAAAUUUGACCAGUCUCCAAAAUCGUCAAGGUUGAUCGCAAAUGGUAAUAAUACUUUUGUAUAAUUGAUUUGCGUUUGUGAAUAAUUAGCGAAGCCAAU
rnacentral:lncRNA from 1 species